AUGCAAGUCGCACGCGAAAGGGGGCAACCCUGAGUAGAGUGGCGGACGGGUGCGUAACGCGUAGGAAUAUACCUGGUAGUGGGGGACAACCCGGUGAAAACCGGGCUAAUACCGCAUACGAUCUACGGAUGAAAGCAGGGGACCGCAAGGCCUUGCGCUAUCAGACUAGCCUGCGUCGGAUUAGCUAGUUGGUGAGGUAAUGGCUCACCAAGGCAACGAUCCGUAGCUGGUUUGAGAGAACGACCAGCCACACUGGGACUGAGACACGGCCCAGACUCCUACGGGAGGCAGCAGUGGGGAAUAUUGGACAAUGGGGGCAACCCUGAUCCAGCAAUGCCGCGUGUGUGAAGAAGGCCUUCGGGUUGUAAAGCACUUUCGAUGGGGAAAAACAAGCCAGACCUAACACGUCUGGCCCUGAUGGUACCCAGAGAAGAAGCACCGGCUAACUCUGUGCCAGCAGCCGCGGUAAUACAGAGGGUGCAAGCGUUGUCCGGAAUUAUUGGGCGUAAAGAGCUCGUAGGUCUUUUGUUACGUCGGAUGUGAAAACCUGAGGCUCAACCUCAGGCCUGCAUUCGAUACGGGCAAACUAGAGUUUGGUAGGGGAGACUGGAAUUCCUGGUGUAGCGGUGGAAUGCGCAGAUAUCAGGAGGAACACCAAUGGCGAAGGCAGGUCUCUGGGCCAAUACUGACACUGAGGAGCGAAAGUCUGGGGAGCGAACAGGAUUAGAUACCCUGGUAGUCCAGACCGUAAACGGUGGGCACUAGUUGUGGGAACCUUCCACGGUUUCUGCGACGCAGCUAACGCAUUAAGUGCCCCGCCUGGGGAGUACGAUCGCAAGAUUAAAACUCAAAUGAAU
rnacentral:rRNA from 1 species